rnacentral:rRNA from 1 species
CAGCAGUCGCCGCGGUAAAACGGAGGGUGCAAGCGUUAUCCGGAUUUAUUGUGUUUAAAGGGUCCGUAGGCUGAUCUGUAAGUCAGUGGUGAAAUCUCACAGCUUAACUGUGAAACUGCCAUUGAUACUGCAGGUCUUGAGUAAAUUUGAAGUGGCUGGAAUAAGUAGUGUAGCGGUGAAAUGCAUAGAUAUUACUUAGAACACCAAUUGCGAAGGCAGGUCACUAAGAUUUAACUGACGCUGAUGGACGAAAGCGUGGGGAGCGAACAGGAUUAGAUACCCGUGUAGUCCCUGUCUCUUAUAC